rnacentral:snoRNA from 1 species
CCCCUCUCAGGAUGGCACCUGGAGAGUUUCCAGUCCUCUACCAGUCUCUGCUACAGGAGGGAGAGUCGAGCAGAGGCCUGUCCGUUCCAUUCCUAGCCUGGGCAGUGGCUAGCGAGUGGCAGGCCAUCCGCUACACGU